UAAGUGAAUAGCCCAUACAGAGAUCAAAUACAACCUUGGUAUUAUUACCACCAUGUUCUAGCCAAAACCUGGGAGAACCAAGUACUGUGUCGUGCCUGAAGUGUGGCCAGUGGAUUGUAGGAAGCUAUCAUCCCCUCUGUUUGACUCUGCUGAGUACUCUUAUGAAAUGAUUUGUCCAGUUUUAGGUUCCCCAUUUGCAAAGGGAGGUGAACUAAAAGGAGAGUCGAGCAGGUGGCUGGCAAGAUGAGCAAGGGUCUGGAAAACUUGUACUGUGAAGAGAGUGUGGUUAGUAUGAGGGGAAAAAGGGUAAUGUACAUGAGGGGCAACUACAAAGACAGCGUGCCAAGCUUUUUCAUGAGCAGCAGACAAUUUAACAAGGGGCAAUAACCACAAAUUGUUGCUUGAAAAUCUCCACUUAGACACUUGGAAGAUUCUCACACAUUAGGAAAAUUCUCACUUAGACAAUAGGAAAACUCUUGACUAUUGAGCAACGGAGAAAUGGCACAGGUUACCCACAGAGCUUGUGGAGCCUCCAUCUGAAAAGCUUGGCUCGCCAAAGCUGUGACUAAUUGGACCAACACCUGCAAUAGAUGUGCUUGAAGUGGGAGACUGAACAAAAGACCUCCAGAUGGUCUGUCACAACAGAAGCUCUGUGGCUUUAAUGUAGAGGUUUCCUCAUCCAUCCAAAGCAGACAACUGCUCAAAGCU